AGAACUUCUGUGUGCCUCUUUGCUCAUCUGUAAAAUGGGGAUAGUAACACCUGGAUUAAAUGAAAGACUGUAAGUCAAGUUUCUCCCUCAGUUCAUUCAGAUCUUCUUUCCCCCUCUCCUUGGCUUUAGUUGGUUUGAAUAUUGUAUUUUCUUCUUGCAACUUCCCAUUGCUCCUCUAAUCUCUAUCUUGCUCUACUUUUUCUGGCAUCCACACUAAGAAGGCUGACUAUGGGGGAGGGGUGCAUCAAGCAUGGCUGGAGAGGAGCAUAAGCUUACAGUAGUUUAGAAAAUCUCUCCAAGUGGCUCUCAUGAGCCCAACACUCCCGCCUCCCUCUCCCGCUGCUCCCUUCCCCUCCCCCUCCUCUCAGGAAUUGCGGCUCCCAGGGAUCCUGGGCUUUUGUUCUCUAGAGGCUUAAACUACCACCUGUUUCGCCCUGACUUAUUGUUUAAAGGGAAUUAUUCCCUGUCUACAGACUAUCAAAAAUCAAAAUUGCCAGAACUUAGAGACAGCAAGAGCUAAGUUUGUACUUUUUCCUCUCUUUUCAAUACUAACACUAAAACAUCAAUGCUUUCCUAUUUUCCCUCGAUUUUCCAUUUCUUUUCUGAGGAUCUCCGGGCUCUCAAUAACCACUCCCUCUACUUAUUGAUACUAUCAUAAAGCGUUAAUAUAAAUUCUCUUUUAAUAUUAAUUGUAAUUUAUCUAUUAAUAUAUACCUGUCUUCCCUACUUGGUAUUAAGUACCUAUGGUCUGUAGUGUCUUCUACAGCAGUAGUUUCUCAAACUUGAAUAUGCCUAAGAAUCUUGUUAUAGGGAUCUUGUUAAAACACAGAUUCUGAUUUAGCAGGACUGGGGAGGGGCUGAGUUUCUUCUAACAACUUCCAGGUGAAACCCCUGGACCACACUUGGAGUUGCAAAGCCUCAUUGGAUUUAGAACAAAGAGGGUGCACAUGAGAUGGUUGCUGGAGGAUGCCUUGGUUUCUCCUACUCAGUGCUUGGAAUUUUUCUUCAAUACAUCUUUCUCCACUUUUUCCUGUGCACUAUUUAUGACUAACUGACAAUUAUUUCUUUGUGUACUUAGCUGUGCCCUUCCUUCCCUUUUUCAUAGUCAACAGUCUGGUCCAGAAACCAGUCACUUAGGGAGUACAACAGAAAUCUUCAGCCUUUUUCUACUGUCAUCUACUUUGUAGCAAGCAAGGUUAACUUUUUAAGGAAUCAUCUUUACCUUUGUUGCUGAGUAAACUAUAGUAGCUACUUGGCUGCAAACGUUAGGAAAAAGCGAACUUGGGGAUCUAGGGUCUCCUGAAGCUCCGUGUCGAGGCCACACAUCUUUGGCGGGUGCUGCGUUAUCUCCCCCUCCGUCGGCGAGCAAUUGGUACCGCCCCAGUGCUAGCGGGCGCCGAGCGGGAGCCGCGCGGGAGCAGCGCAGCAGCGGC